AAUGAACGCUGGCGGCAUGCCUUACACAUGCCAGUCGAACGGCAGCAUGACCUAUCUUGCUCGGUUGAUGGCGAGUGGCGCACGGGUGAGUAAUGCAUCGGAACGUGCCUUUUAGUGGGGGAUAACGUAGCGAAAGUUACGCUAAUACCGCAUAUUCUCUGAGGAGGAAAGCAGGGGACCUUCGGGCCUUGCGCUUGAAUAGCGGCCGAUGUCGGAUUAGCUAGUUGGUGAGGUAAAGGCUCACCAAGGCAACGAUCCGUAGCGGGUCUGAGAGGAUGAUCCGCCAAACUGGGACUGAGACACGGACCAGACUCCUACGGGAGGCAGCAGUGGGGAAUAUUGGACAAUGGGCGCAAGCCUGAUCCAGCCAUGCCGCGUGAGUGAAGAAGGCCUUCGGGUUGUAAAGCUCUUUCGGCUGGGAAGAAAUCGCACCCUCUAAUACAGGGUGUGGAUGACGGUACCAGCAGAAGAAGCACCGGCUAACUACGUG
rnacentral:rRNA from 1 species